AACGAACGCUGGCGGCAUGCCUAACACAUGCAAGUCGAACGAGACCUUCGGGUCUAGUGGCGCACGGGUGCGUAACGCGUGGGAACCUGCCCUUAGGUUCGGAAUAACUCCCCGAAAGGGGUGCUAAUACCGGAUAAUGUCUUCGGACCAAAGAUUUAUCGCCUUUGGAUGGGCCCGCGUUGGAUUAGCUAGUUGGUAGGGUAAAAGCCUACCAAGGCGACGAUCCAUAGCUGGUCUGAGAGGAAGAUCAGCCACACUGGGACUGAGACACGGCCCAGACUCCUACGGGAGGCAGCAGUGGGUAAUAUUGGACAAUGGGCGAAAGCCUGAUCCAGCAAUGCCGCGUGAGUGAUGAAGGCCUUAGAGUUGUAAAGCUCUUUUACCCGGGAUGAUAAUGACAGUACCGGGAGAAUAAGCUCCGGCUAACUCCGUG
rnacentral:rRNA from 1 species